GAGAUGUCACUCUUACCUGUCUUUAAAACUUGAGAGCCCUAUUGAGACUAAUUCUCUAACUUUUAGAGUUCAUUCCCUUGCUAACGGCUAAUCACCGCAACACUCUAUGUUGGUGGUUAUUUAUGAACAUAUAGAGCCCGCUAACCAUGCUAAACUUUUAGGCACAUUUUCAUUUUUUUAAACCUUUCAAGUUCCCGCUCAUUUUUGUUGCAUUGAUUUUAUUUUAUUUGGUUUGUUACCACAGUGAUGGCAAAGGCAGGCGGAAAACGAGUCUUUCAGCUGUAUUAGUUAAAUUAGCCAGGCGGCUUGUGUAUUUGACUCGUUAGCUUUGCUGUGGAAGCAGCCAUUGAGAGAUCUCCUGAUUAGAUUAGAAGAUGAAGUUUCAAAGAAUAAAGUGGGAAGAUUAUAACAAAACAUUAGAGCAGGUCCCUCCUCUUCAACCUGGAUCUCUUUGCUAACUGCUUCUCACAUCACAUUGCACCAUGUUUAUGAUCAGUUAGAGUCAGGACCCAUUACCCCAUCUCUAUCACCAUGUUAGAGUGGCGAUGAUUGAAGCGUAGCGAGGGUGAAGGAAGCAGCUGGCUUCAGUAAUUGCAGAGGGAGUCGCUAACCAGCAGUGAGCAGAAUCAUGGCUGACUACAUGUUCCUCCGUGUUUGGAAUCCUUCUCCAACAAGGCGGCAUGCACAAUAGCCCAGCAGGAGAGCGGAUAUUAAACCCCCUCAUUACACUCGCUAAAAACGUCUACCCUGAAGUGUCCCACCUUCGGCCUUGUUCUCAAUACGGAGAAUUGUCCAAGCGCCUCCAGAUUAGUGUCGAGGGUAGACGCCUGUAAUAAUGUAAUAAUUCUCAAUGAGGCUCUCAUUCCUUAAAUACUACAGCAGUUUGGCAUCAAGUACUAAUUAGUUAUAUUAAAUGUUCUGGAACUUUCUCAGAUAAGAUUUCUCUUAGCUACAAGAAAGUUAGCGCUUUAGCUCUGACACUGGAGACUCCUUCCUGAGAUAUGUUAGGCUUCUAUUUAACACUGAUGGGUUAUAUUUCUGUAGUAUAUUGCAUGAGUGUGUGUGUGUGUGUGUGUGUGUGUGUGUGAGUGUGAGUGUUGGCGUGCAGCUCGUCUCGUCCUCUCUUUGCCCACUUUACCUUUAACCUUGCUACGUUAGACUUCAGCCACAACAACAAGGACAAAUGUCACGAGUCUGACGGCUCCUUUUAUUUUUUCCCCCGCUAAAUUAUUCACGCCGCGCUGUCCGACAAAGCUGCACCGCUCUAAUGUCGUGUAAGAUAAACCUCUGACACGCUCACCACCAUUUUGUUGGGGGUUUUUUUGUUUGUUUGUUUGUUUCGUCUCUGUCCAAAUAAACACUGGUCAAAAUUUUAAACAAUUCCAACAUGUUGGAUUUUCAGGUUUUGACAGUAUUUUUAUUUAUUUUUUUUUAAUUUAAAUUUUUGUAGAGUUCAAAAUAAAUGUGAUUGCAGCAGCGUCCUGAUUGUAACAGUGACUCUGCUUUUUUUUUUAUUUUAGUGAUAUCUAAAACUCUAAAUUCUAAGGAAAGUUAAAGGUCUUUUAAAAAGUUUUAGAGGUUAAAGAAUAGCGG